ensembl:lncRNA
CGACGUCACGCGCGCUUCGGGGAGGGCGUCAGUGCGCCGUCACGGGCUCUUAAACGCUGUGUGGCGUGUUUGACCGAGUGGAGAGAGUUUGAGAUCCCCACUUUGCAGAGCGCAUGUGGACUGCCAGCCUGUCCGGGACUGAGCGCACGAUGAAGACGAGCGACAGGAGGACAGUUUCCUUUUCUGAUCUGUAAGAUGAGAGCCCCGGCGCUGAGGCCGAAGAGUUCAGGAGGAUUUGUAAAGGGAAGAUUAACAGUUCACGAAGGAGAAAUGUCCACAACUGCAACUCCAACCAUCCCCUCCUUCCAGCUGACAUCUGAUCAACUCACAGUGGUCGCUGCGUCCUUUUCCUCUCUGGUGUUCUUCGUGGUUAUCGUGGUGCUGCUGUCCAUCAUCUACCGCAAGGAUCCUCAGUGCUGCAGACUGUUUUCCUAUCAGGGGCCACAUGCAGAUAUGGGUGCUCCCUCUCAGUACUACAGCAGCAGGCAGACGCUGGUGCCAUCUCCUUUUCUCGAGCAGACACAGAUCACUGAUGACAGCAGCACUCAGCCUCCUCCAACAUACGAAGAGAGCAUCCGUCAGUCGGUGGAGCUGCCGUACGACAUCCUCUCAUCCAGCCUGGACGUCCCCUCUGCUCAGAGUUUCUACACCAACACUAGAGCCGUCGUUCAGACUGACACAGCGCCUCCAGCUAACUUUGAGGCCGCCGACAACACCGUCCUACCCAUGUGACGCCGAUCAAGCCAUCAAACUUUCUGGUGAAUGUGAAGCAGAAUUGCGAUAUUUAACGUAACGCAGAUGCAGUUACUAAAUCGACUGGAUCCUUAACACUUGUGUACAAGAUGAUUCUGAUACCUCAAAACUGACAGAGCUAAUGUUGAUCAUGAGCUGGAAGGCAACCAUACGAGGAGCCGCACACCCUGCAGGGAAGGACACGUUUGAAUGUUAAAAAUACUUUGUGACAUUUACUGUGCUCUACCGUGCCCGUGAGUUUGAAAACAGAAACACUGAAUACUCAUAAAACUAAGGUGGCUGGCACAUCUCGAACAGGAGAGGGCAGAACUGAAACAUACCAAAAAAAGGGAACGACUAUUUACUUUGUUGGUUACAGUGACGUGUAUUAAAUUCUGUUAAUGGACUUAUGUUUUCACAGUUAGCUCUUCUCAUUUAUUCUAAUGUCCCCGAACUGGAAACCUCAUUGUGUGGUUUUUAAAGAGGUCUGUUUGUUUAGUAGCUGCCGCAAAGCGGGCUUCUUUACCCCGCUGAGGCGAUGCAACGCUGCUCUAGCUUGAGAGGGAGAAUAAAAAAGGUGCUAAUGAGAGUGCCUUUCAUGGAAUCGAAACUAGACAUUCAUUACAAAACCUUUGUCUUUACCCCAUCUUUUGAUUUUUUUCUAUUUACACACCAGAUUUUAUGUCUUAAUGUUCUGUGCGUUAUUUUCUCUUACUUUCCAUGUGCACGAGUCGUAUGUUUGCCCUGCAUAUGUCUCGUACUGUAUUUAUUGAAGAAAGAUAACUGACAUCUUGUUAUUUCUCUGUGGAAACAAAUGUAAUAAAUACUUUUAUUGCUUUGUUCGUGAAUGUUUUUCAUUACACAGCCGCAGUUUAUGUAUGUGGACCACAUCCAAACCACUCACAGUGAGGUAAGAUUUUAUAUGCGCGUUUCUGAGUGCAUGUUGUUUUGAAAACAAAGGAC